CUGCAUCCAGCUAUUUAUUUUAUUUUUUAAAUGACACAUAAUUGUACAUAUCAGUGGGGUACAUAGUGAUAUUUCAAUAUAUACAAUUUCUAGUGAUCAGAUCAGGGUAAUUAGCAUAUCCAUCUUCUCCAACAUUUAUCCAUUGUUAGAAACAAAAUGCUUGUUCCUUGGUGCCGCAAGGAGAAAUCAGCAUUCAGACAAAAAGUUUUCACAGCAAGGCAAUUUUACUUACUGCAGAAAAGGUGCUGCUUGUCAGCAAUCUUGCCACGAGACCACACUGAACAAAGAAAGACAGGAAUAUUUAUCCCCUAUGCACUGGGUCCUUACUGCUGUGUCCUAUCUCCAUUGGUUGGAGCUGGACCUCACAGUCUAAGUUAAACCCAGCUGGCUAACAAUUUAAGACUUUCCUAAAUAGGUAAAGGUAAUGGAGAACAAAAGGAAAAGAGGCUUGCGAAAGGACUUAGAGAAGUAACAACAUUUCCAAAUAAGGAAGGGGCAAAGGCUGUGAGCUGGGACAUGCCUGAGCAUGCCCAGAACAAAUAUCUUGGUUAAAGUACAAGGACAUAGAAUAUACUUAUUCCCUUAUAUCUAACAGCUACGUAGGAUAGGGCUUAACAAAGAGUUAUUAGCAAAAAGCAAGAAGGCUUUGGAGGAAGUUAGUCUUUAAAAUAAACUAUUAUUUCUAACAUUUAUUAUUUAUUCUUUAACAAGAAGGGAAACUUUGAAGAGGAAUUUUACUUUCCACAUCCAUUUUUCAUUUCUUUUCUUUUCUUUUUUUUUUUUCUUUUUUUUUUCUGAGACAGGGUCUCACUCUGUCACCCAGGCUGGAGUGCAGUGGUGCCAUCUCAGCUCACUGCAACCUCUGCCUCCUGGUUUCAAGUGAUUCUCUUGACUCAGCCUCCUGGAUAGCUGGGAUUACAGGCAUGAGCCACUGUGCCUGGCCCACUAUGUCUUAAAAGUGCUGGAGGGAAGUGGGAGCCGCGACCCUUCCAAAGGACACCUUUCAUACCUUUCAUACCGUGCUGCAGGCAGACAAUUUAUUGAAAAGCAAUCUGCCCCAAAACAACCCACCAAAAAUCAAUUUGACAAAUUCACCCUAGAGCCCCUAGGCUGGAAAUGACGUCUCUCUGUCUCCACUUCAAGCCUGUCUCCCAGAAAGUAUUUUUUUGUUUCUUUAUAACAUGACAGCUCAGCAUGUCAUUAAAGAUUUUUCCUCGUCAUUCUAUUCCCCUGGCCUUCUUCUCCUCCUAGAAUUUGUAUUUCUAGCCAGCAGAGUUGAGACAUGGGACCAAUGAUUUACUUAAGCAGAUGUAAUCGCCGGGCAUGGUGGCUCACACCUGUAAUCCCAGGACUUUGGAAGGCCGAGGCAGGUGGAUUGCUUGAGCUCCGGAAGUUUGAGACCAACCUGGGCAACAUGGCAAAACCGUGUCUCUACAAAACAAACAAACAAACAAACAAAAAAAAAACCAAAAAAGACAAAAAAUCAAAAAUUAGCUUGGUACGGUGGUAUGCGCCUGUAGUCCCAGCUACUUGGGAGGCUGAGACAGAAGAACGGCGUGAAUCCGGGAGGCGGAGCUUGCAGUGAGCCAAGAUUGUGCCACUGCACUCCAGCCUGGGCAACAGAGCGAGACUCCAUCUAAAAAAA
rnacentral:lncRNA from 1 species